rnacentral:rRNA from 1 species
UAGGGAAUUUUCGGCAAUGGGGGAAACCCUGACCGAGCAACGCCGCGUGAAGGAAGAAGUAAUUCGUUAUGUAAACUUCUGUCAUAGAGGAAGAACGGUGGAUAUAGGGAAUGAUAUCCAAGUGACGGUACUCUAUAAGAAAGCCACGGCUAACUACGUGCCAGCAGCCGCGGUAAUACGUAGGUGGCGAGCGUUAUCCGGAAUUAUUGGGCGUAAAGAGGGAGCAGGCGGCACUAAGGGUCUGUGGUGAAAGAUCGAAGCUUAACUUCGGUAAGCCAUGGAAACCGUAGAGCUAGAGUGUGUGAGAGGAUCGUGGAAUUCCAUGUGUAGCGGUGAAAUGCGUAGAUAUAUGGAGGAACACCAGUGGCGAAGGCGACGAUCUGGCGCAUAACUGACGCUCAGUCCCGAAAGCGUGGGGAGCAAAUAGGAUUAGAUACCCUAGUAGUCCACGCCGUAAACGAUGAGUACUAAGUGUUGGGUGUCAAAGCUCAGUGCUGCAGUUAACGCAAUAAGUACUCCGCCUGAGUAGUACGUUCGCAAGAAUGAAACUCAAAGGAAUUGACGGGGGCCCGCACAAGCGGUGGAGCAUGUGGUUUAAUUCGAAGCAACGCGAAGAACCUUACCAGGUCUUGACAUCGAUCUAAAGGCUCCAGAGAUGGAGAGAUAGCUAUAGAGAAGACAGGUGGUGCAUGGUUGUCGUCAGCUCGUGUCGUGAGAUGUUGGGUUAAGUCCCGCAACGAGCGCAACCCCUGUUGCCAGUUGCCAGCAUUAAGUUGGGGACUCUGGCGAGACUGCCGGUGACAAGCCGGAGGAAGGCGGGGAUGACGUCAAAUCAUCAUGCCCCUUAUGACCUGGGCUACACACGUGCUACAAUGGACAGAGCAGAGGGAAGCGAAGCCGCGAGGUGGAGCGAAACCCAUAAAACUGUUCUCAAUUCGGACUGCAGUCUGCAACUCGACUGCACGAAGAUGGAAUCGCUAGUAAUCGCGAAUCAGCAUGUCGCGGUGAAUACGUUCUC